rnacentral:rRNA from 1 species
GACGAACGCUGGCGGCGUGCUUAACACAUGCAAGUCGAGCGGUAAGGCCCUUUCGGGGUACGACGAGCGGCGAACGGGUGAGUAACACGUGGGUGACCUGCCCUCAGCUCUGGGAUAAGCCUGGGAAACCGGGUCUAAUACUGGAUAUGACUCCAUGACGCAUGUUGGUGGGGUGGAAAGCCUUGUGCGGCUGAGGAUGGGCCCGCGGCCUAUCAGCUUGUU